rnacentral:misc_RNA from 1 species
UACAGAGGGUGCAAGCGUUAAUCGGACUGACUGGGCGUAAAGCGCGUGUAGGUGGAUACAUAAGUUAACUGUUAAAGCCCCCAGCUUAACUGGGGAAUGUCGGUUAAUACUGUGUGCCUAGAGUGUGGGAGAGGGAAGUGGAAUUUCCGGUGUAGCGGUGAAAUGCGUAGAUAUCGGAAAGAACACCAGUGGCGAAGGCGACUUCCUGGCCCAACACUGACACUGAGACGCGAAGGCGUGGGGAGCAAACAGG